AUUGAACGCUGGCGGCAUGCCUUACACAUGCAAGUCGAACGGAUCUAGGGGCUUGCUCCUAGGUUAGUGGCGAACGGGUGAGUAAUGCAUCGGAACGUACCCAGUCGUGGGGGAUAACGUAGCGAAAGUUACGCUAAUACCGCAUACGUCCUGAGGGAGAAAAGCAGGGGAUCGCAAGACCUUGCGCGAUUGGAGCGGCCGAUGUCGGAUUAGCUAGUUGGUGGGGGUAAAAGCCUACCAAGGCAACGAUCCGUAGCUGGUCUGAGAGGAUGAUCAGCCACACUGGGACUGAGACACGGGACCCAGACUCCUACGGGAGGCAGC
rnacentral:rRNA from 1 species